rnacentral:lncRNA from 1 species
GUAAGGAAUGCAGGAACUACCCACAUCACAUCCAAAUGCCGUCUCCUGCUGGUGUCUCUCACUAACCAAACCCAACUAAAAGCCAAGGGGUAAGGGUGACGUGGUCCAUAGAGGAAGAAGAAAAUAUCUUAAACUGUUCCUGACUUACUCUCUCUUGGAAGCACACUUCAGCAUUCUGCGUUGAACUUCAAGAUCGCAUGAUGAGGUUACCUCUGAAUUCUGCUCGGCUGUUCCCCAUUUUGCUCUGUUUUUACACUGUGUCCUUGGAAUCUGUUCUAAUAACCCAUACCUAUUAAACUCCAUCCAUGAAGAUCCUGGGGCACCCCAGACUUAAGCUGCUCUCAAAUGAAACCAGAACAAUAAUCACAGCUAAGCCUCUGGAAUCUGGGGGCCUGCCAGGAGCCAAUUUCUCCAAGCAUAAAAGAGACAACAAUGAUUUUGAUGUGGAAGAUUUCCCCUGACCCUGAGAAGCUUUGUAUGGAAUGGUCCCCACAAUGGUUGCUGGCUUCAGUCGAAAUAACAGGUAUCCAAAUGCCACCUUCAUGGUCAUGGAAUCGUUCACUUCAGAGAGGAGAUGUAGAAAAGUCAGAGAAGGCAAUGAUUGGCUGGUUCUGAAAUGAAAAUCAGUUUCAACCAACGAUCCUUGAUUAUCCAGUAACGUGCCAGAAAAUUGACCAUUUCCCUCCCAUUUUAUUCAUUCAUACUGCAUUCUGAGGACCACGCACUAAUUUACUAGGAGCCGUUAGACGUUUUUUAUGUUUUCAGGGAAAAUGGAGAGGAAAGAAUUUAAAGAUAUAUAGCUGACAGGUAAACAAUUGUCUGAAAUAUAUCCUUCAGGAGAAAAUCUGCCAUCUACAACGCUGACCUGGAAACAAAUAUUUAGCAUUCCAAAAUAUUCUGAAUAGUGGUGGCUUUUAGAAAGCUUAUAGUGGAAAUCAUGCAGG